rnacentral:rRNA from 1 species
UACGUAGGGUGCGAGCGUUGUCCGGAAUUACUGGGCGUAAAGAGCUCGUAGGUGGUUUGUCGCGUUGUCCGUGAAAACUCACAACUCAAUUGUGGGCGUGCGGGCGAUACGGGCAGACUGGAGUACUGCAGGGGAGACUGGAAUUCCUGGUGUAGCGGUGGAAUGCGCAGAGUAUCAAGAGGAACACCGGUGGCGAAGGCGGGUCUCUGGGCAGUAACUGACGCUGAGGAGCGAAAGCGUGGGGAGCGAACAGG